AUUGAACGCUGGCGGCAGGCCUAACACAUGCAAGUCGAGCGAGCGGCGGACGGGUGUGUAAUGUCUGGGAAAUUGCCUGAUGGAGGGGGAUAACUACUGGAAACGGUAGCAAAUACCGCAUACCAUCAGAUGUGCCCAGAUGGGAUUAGCUAGAAGGUGGGGUAACGGCUCACCUAGGCGACGCUCCCUAGCUGGUCUGAGAGGAUGACCAGCCACGCUGGAAUGGGAACCCGGUCCAGACUCCUACGGGAGUCAGCAGUGGGGAAUAUUGCACAAUGGGCGCAAGCCUGAUGAAGCCAUGCCGCGUGUGUGAAGAAGGCCUUCGGGUUGUAGAGCACUUUCAGCGGGGAGGCGUUACCCGAAGAAGAAGCACCGGCUAACUCCGUGCCAGCAGCCGCGGUAAUAC
rnacentral:rRNA from 1 species